UAAGUGAGUGGCUUGCGUGGUUUAUACAUGCAGUCGAACGAAGUAGCAAUACUUAGUGGCAGACGGGUGAGUAACAUGUAGGUAUCUUCCCUUUGGUGAAGAAUAACACGAGGAAACUUGUGCUAAUACUUCAUAAGUCUUUACGGAGAAAGCUUUAUGCGCCAAAGGAUGAGCCUGCAUUUGAUUAGUUUGUUGGUGGGGUAAUGGCCUACCAAGACUUUGAUCAAUAGCUGAUCUGAGAGGAUGAUCAGCCACAUUGGGACUGAGACGCGGCCCAAACUCCUACGGGAGGCAGCAGUAGGGAAUAUUGCACAAUGGAGGAAACUCUGAUGCAGCGAUGCCGCGUGAGUGAAGAAGGCCUUUGGGUUGUAAAGCUCUUUCGUCGGGGAAGAAAAUGACUGUACCCGAAUAAGAAGGUCCGGCUAACUUCGUGCCAGCAGCCGCGGUAAUACGAAGGGACCUAGCGUAGUUCGGAAUUACUGGGCUUAAAGAGUUCGUAGGUUGUUAAAAAAGUUGGUGGUGAAAUCCCAGAGCUUAACUCUGGAACUGCCAUCAAAACUUUUUAGCUAGAGUAUGAUAGAGGAAAGCAGAAUUUCUAGUGUAGAGGUGAAAUUCGUAGAUAUUAGAAAGAAUACCAAUUGCGAAGGCAGCUUUCUGGAUCAUUACUGACACUGAGGAACGAAAGCAUGGGUAGCGAAGAGGAUUAGAUACCCUCGUAGUCCAUGCCGUAAACGAUGUGUGUUAGACGUUGGGAAUUUAUUUCCAGUGUCGCAGCGAAAGCAUUAAACACACCGCCUGGGGAGUACGACCGCAAGGUUA
rnacentral:rRNA from 1 species